rnacentral:rRNA from 1 species
AUUGAACGCUGGCGGAAUGCUUUACACAUGCAAGUCGAGCGGCAGUACGGGUGCUUGCACCUGGUGGCGAGUGGCGAACGGGUGAGUAAUAUAUCGGAACGUACCUAGUAAUGGGGGAUAACUAGUCGAAAGAUUAGCUAAUACCGCAUACGCCCUGAGGGGGAAAGCGGGGAUCGUAAGACCUCGCGUUAUUAGAGCGGCCGAUAUCUGAUUAGCUAGUUGGUGGGGUAAAGGCCCACCAAGGCGACGAUCAGUAGCUGGUCUGAGAGGACGACCAGCCACACUGGAACUGAGACACGGUCCAGACUCCUACGGGAGGCAGCAGUGGGGAAUUUUGGACAAUGGGCGCAAGCCUGAUCCAGCCAUUCCGCGUGAGUGAAGAAGGCCUCGGGUUGUAAAGCUCUUUCGCAAGGGAAGAAACGAUAUAGACGAAUAAUCUAUGUUAAUGACGGUACCUUGAUAAGAAGCACCGGCUAACUACGCGCCAGCAGCCGCGGUAAUACGUAGGGUGCGAGCGUUAAUCGGAAUUACUGGGCGUAAAGCGUGCGCAGGCGGUUUUGUAAGUCAGAUGUGAAAUCCCCGGGUCUCAACCUGGGGAACUGCGUUUGAAACUACAAGGCUAGAGUAUAGGAGAGGGGGGUAGAAUUCCACGUGUAGCAGUGAAAAUGCGUAGAGAUGUGGAGGAAUACCAAUGGCGAAGGCAGCCCCUGGCCUAAUACUGACGCUCAUGCACGAAAGCGUGGGGGAGCAAACAGGAUAGAUA